rnacentral:rRNA from 2 species
UGGUAGUCCACGCCGUAAACGAUGAGUGCUAGGUGUUGGGGGGUUCCACCCUCAGUGCUGAAGUUAACACAUUAAGCACUCCGCCUGGGGAGUACGACCGCAAGGUUGAAACUCAAAGGAAUUGACGGGGGCCCGCACAAGCAGUGGAGCAUGUGGUUUAAUUCGAAGCAACGCGAAGAACCUUACCAGGUCUUGACAUCCUCUGACAAUCCUGGAGACAGGACGUUCCCCUUCGGGGGACAGAGUGACAGGUGGUGCAUGGUUGUCGUCAGCUCGUGUCGUGAGAUGUUGGGUUAAGUCCCGCAACGAGCGCAACCCUUGAUCUUAGUUGCCAGCAUUCAGUUGGGCACUCUAAGGUGACUGCCGGUGACAAACCGGAGGAAGGUGGGGAUGACGUCAAAUCAUCAUGCCCCUUAUGACCUGGGCUACACACGUGCUACAAUGGACGGUACAAAGGGCAGCGACACCGCGAGGUGAAGCAAAUCCCAUAAAGCCGUUCUCAGUUCGGAUUGCAGGCUGCAACUCGCCUGCAUGAAGCCGGAAUUGCUAGUAAUCGCGGAUCAGCAUGCCGCGGUGAAUACGUUCCCGGGCCUUGUACACACCGCCCGUCACACCACGAGAGUUUGUAACACCCGAAGUCGGUGGGGUAACCU